rnacentral:rRNA from 1 species
UACGUAGGGGGCUAGCGUUGUCCGGAAUUACUGGGCGUAAAGGGCUCGUAGGCGGCCAACUAAGUCGGACGUGAAAUCCCCAGGCUCAACCUGGGAACUGCGUCCGAUACUGGAUGGCUUGAAUCCGGGAGAGGGAUGCAGAAUUCCAGGUGUAGCGGUGAAAUGCGUAGAUAUCUGGAGGAAUACCGGUGGCGAAGGCGGCAUCCUGGACCGGCAUUGACGCUGAGGAGCGAAAGCCAGGGGAGCAAACGGG